UACGAAGGGGGCUAGCGUUGUUCGGAAUUACUGGGCGUAAAGCGUGCGCAGGCGGUUUUGUAAGCCAGAUGUGAAAUCCCCGGGCUCAACCUGGGAAUGGCAUUUGGGACUGCAAGGCUGGAGUACGGCAGAGGAGACUGGAAUUCCUGGUGUAGCAGUGAAAUGCGUAGAUAUCAGGAGGAAUACCGAUGGCGAAGGCAGGUCUCUGGGCUGAUACUGACGCUCAUUGCACGAAAGCGUGGGGAGCAAACAGG
rnacentral:rRNA from 1 species